rnacentral:lncRNA from 1 species
AGAAAGCAUGUUAGUUUGCCAAGAGGGCUUAAUUUUCAGAAAGUCGCCUUUGUUUUAAAAAACAAACAACAUAGUAGAUAGUGUCUCUUUUGCUUUUCUUUUCUUAGACCCCAACUAUCUUUGCCGUUUCACACCUCACUGGCUGAGACGAGUCACUCACUGACAUUACCUGCCUGACCCCAGUCCGCACUUGUGCGUGUGACCCCUGGUCCUGAGGCUGCUGUUGAAAGCUCAUCAUGCCUCUUCCUGUGGAAGCCUCGGGCCAGUCAAAGAGCCACCAGAGGCUGGAGCUUCUGGGUUCAAUCCCCGGGUUAAUGGGCUUGGAGAAGUGGACCUGGACUCCAGGUCCAGAAGGAAAGAGAAGAUUCAGCCCCAACACAAAGCUGCCUCUAUUUCCUGAGAAGCAAGAGGAAGCAACCACUCACCUCAGAGUUUCUGGAGCAACCAUUUCUUGAGCAUCCUUAUUUUGUGAUUGAUAAAAGUUCUUCUGUCAAUGAGAGCACAUGUUCUAACGGUGGCAGGGGUGAGGGGUGGAGAGGUUGGGAAAAAUAUACGUCUAGGAGCAAACAGAAAUUGAUGUUGGAAAACUUUGUUCAUAGUGUAGGGACUCCCUGCAAAUAUUAACAUACUGUGUUACUAAGAAGGGCCAUGGGCCAGCGAGGCAGGAGGUUGGUUUAUCUGUUUGGCUCAUUCUCAGUUUCAUCCUAAGUAGAAACUGGGGCUCUGAUGAAUGAUGGGGACAGAAGAAUGGCAGAGUAUGGAGCUGGAAACACAAGCGAGGGCCUGAAGCCCCUAGCUGUAUACCAUUUGGUGUCCUGGACAGGUAGAGGCGUCCAGAUGGCGCCGGAGACCCUGGUUGGGGGGAUGGGGAGACUCAACAGAAUGAAGGACUGGGAAAAGCUUUGCCUGUUCCCUUGUUUCACUUAAAGUGAAGUGAAGUGAAGUGAAAUCGCUCAGUCGUGUCCGACUAUUUGCGACCCCAUGGACUGUAGCCUACCAGGCUCCUCCCUCCAUGGAAUUCUCCAAGCAAGAGUACUGGAGUGGGUUGCCAUUUCCUUCUCCAGGGUUGUUUCCCUUAAGCCAACGUUAAUUCCUGGGGGUUGUGGUCAAAAAAUGCCACUUGCAUAUCAG